GGCUUCAUUCUUGGCAUUUGGUGUUGUUUCAGCUAUUGCAGAUGUCUGCCUGGCAUCCGUUCACUACCGUGGUGGAGUGUCAGUCUGCUUUAGGUCCUGCGUCAUCUCUGCUAUUCCUGUGCAGAUAUCCUGGAUGCUUUACAGCCUUCUCAAAUGGCACUGGGCACCUGUGCCUUGGACAGGAAUCCUGGCCUUUGCUUUGUGAAGCAGCACGUUCCUGAAGGGCCGCAACAGCGUGGUCAUGGUCACAGCCAAGCAUGGCAGCAGUGGGCAAGUUGAACAAAUCUUUGAGCGGGACGAUUGAAGUGUUUUGGUUUGGUUGGAAGACUGUACUAGAUUGCCAGAGGGAAUUCAGAGAAAACCAGAAUACUUUCCCAAAGAGAAGGAUUGCCAUCCUUGGGCUUCUCCACUGCAACUCAGAGAGUCCUGUGCCAUUCCUGCUUUGGGGACAUGGGCAG
rnacentral:lncRNA from 1 species